AACGAACGCUGGCGGCAUGCCUAACACAUGCAAGUCGAACGAGACCUUCGGGUCUAGUGGCGCACGGGUGCGUAACGCGUGGGAACCUGCCCUUAGGUUCGGAAUAACUCCCCGAAAGGGGUGCUAAUACCGGAUAAUGUCUUCGGACCAAAGAUUUAUCGCCCUUGGAUGGGCCCGCGUUGGAUUAGCUUGUUGGUAGGGUAAAAGCCUACCAAGGCGACGAUCCAUAGCUGGUCUGAGAGGAUGAUCAGCCACACUGGGACUGAGACACGGCCCAGACUCCUACGGGAGGCAGCAGUGGGGAAUAUUGGACAAUGGGCGAAAGCCUGAUCCAGCAAUGCCGCGUGAGUGAUGAAGGCCUUAGGGUUGUAAAGCUCUUUUACCCGGGAUGAUAAUGACAGUACCGGGAGAAUAAGCUCCGGCUAACUCCGUG
rnacentral:rRNA from 1 species